UAAGCAUUUCUUUCUCUCUCUAACCUCCCUAAACCCCUCCCAAGUCUAGGGAGCCUCCCCAGCAUGAGAAGAAAGCCCCGAAGCGCCCGACGGCUCCGAGCAGAAAAGCUUUCGGCUCGGAAACGCUGCUCCAGCGAAGCCUGAUUUUUAAAAACCCGCUGCCCUUAUAAUUGAUGGAAAAAAUAGCUACACAUAGUUGGAAUCUGAUUUGAAGGAAAAGCUAAUGCAUGGAAGUUGUUUGAUGAAAUGUGUGAGAGAGAUCUGGUGUCUAAAACUCAAUGAUAUAUGGGUAUUUUCAUAUUGGUUUUUCUGGGUUCCUUUGGAAUUGUUUGAGCAGAUGGAAGGUGAAGGAUUUGAACUACAUGAGAAUGAAAACAUAUAUUAUGUUCUAUCAUUUUUAGACGUAAAUUAUAUUCUAUUUAACUAUAUUCAUUUGUGAAGAAAAAUAUAUUCAUUUGCGAAUAUAUGUAUUCAUUUGUGUAGAAUUGAUAAAAUUUACAUGAUUUUAUUUUCAAUUGAUGAAAAAACACUCGAUUCAUGUUUG